CUGCAACUCGCCUACACGAAGUCGGAAUCGCUGUAAUCGCGGAUCAGCAUGCCGCGGUGAAUACGUUCCCGGGCCUUGUACACACCGCCCGUCACACCAUGGGAGUUUGUAACGCCCAAAGUCGGUGGCCUAACCUUUAUGGAGGGAGCCGCCUAAGGCGGGACAGAUGACUGGGGUGAAGUCGUAACAAGGUAGC
rnacentral:rRNA from 1 species